AACUACAUGUCGCCGGACAUUACCUCUAUCUAUUCCAGUAGGCCUUAGUUGGAAUGGAUAAGAGGUUUUUUUAAUG
rnacentral:ncRNA from 1 species